rnacentral:rRNA from 1 species
AUUUAAAAUUCCGGUGGUACGGGACGGGCACGCGCGACAUUAGGUAGUUGGCGGGGUAACGGCCCACCAAGCCGACGAUGUCUAGGGGUUCUGAGAGGAAGGUCCCCCACACUGGAACUGAGACACGGUCCAGACUCCUACGGGAGGCAGCAGUGAGGAAUAUUGGUCAAUGGGCGAGAGCCUGAACCAGCCAAGUCGCGUGAGGGAAGAAUGGUCUAUGGCCUGUAAACCUCUUUUGCCAGGGAAGAAUAAAAGGUACGUGUACCUUCUUGCCAGUA